UCUUAAUAGGCUUGGUCAUGUUUAAGUCAUAGAUGCUACUCAUCAAAAUAAAAUAAAGUUCAUAUAAACAUGGAUUCAGACAUGUUUCUUUUUCAAGAUAACACUGGAUGUAAUAAUGUUGUUGCAAAAACAUUUUAAAGUCCGAAACAGUGAUGUGGAAAUUUUUGGAUGAUCCAGAAAACAUUCCACUGAUAAUCAACCAGGCCAAACACAAAUAUGGCAUUAUGUUGUUUACCAUAAAAACUCAUAUUUUAUUCAAUCGGAGUGAGGAAAUACAUUCCUUGAGCAAAUAACUUUGUUAUAUUUAAUAUGGAAACAAAAAGGAACUAAAUCCUUUCCACAAUCUCCUAUCUAUUGUCUCCUACACUGCUUAGCUGAACUGAUACUUUGGAUGACAAGAAAAGGGCUACUUGGAUGACAUUGUUGGAAUACUUACAUGGCAUGAGCCUGCCAGGAGGAUGCCAUUGCAAGUAGUCCAAUGAUGAGCUUUUUUGGUUGGGUGAAAGAUUCUAUAAGUGGAUUAUGUAAUUUUAAAGCUACUUUGCAUGGAAAAUCACCAAUACAAUGUUUACUAGAAAAAAAUAUUCCUACUUCUAGUCCUAAGCUUGAAGUAACAAUGUUAGAGGAAUCAAAAAUCCACAUCUUUCCUUUAUAUUCUAUUAGUUCUAUUAGUUAUUGGCUAUUUUAUAUAGUUAAGAGUGAAAGAUAUUUACAUUCCCAACUCGAUCUUAUCAG
rnacentral:lncRNA from 1 species